GAUGAAGAACGUAGCGAAAUGCGAUAAGUAGUGUGAAUUGCAGAAUUCAGUGAAUCAUCGAAUCUUUGAACGCACAUUGCGCCCUUUGGUAUUCCAAAGGGCAUGCCUGUUCGAGCGUCAUUUGUACCCUCAAGCUUUGCUUGGUGUUGGGCGUCUUGUCUCUCUCCCGAGACUCGCCUUAAAAUCAUUGGCAGCCGGCCUACUGGUUUCGGAGCGCAGCACAUUAUUUGCGCUCUUGUCCAGCCGCGGUCGCGCGUCCAUGAAGCUUCUUUCAAACUUUUGACCUCGGAUCAGGUAGGGAUACCCGCUGAACUUAAGCAUAUCAAUAAGCGGAGGA
rnacentral:misc_RNA from 1 species